rnacentral:tRNA from 1 species
AGGCGCGUAGCUCAGCGGGAGAGCGCUACCUUGACACGGUAGAGGUCGGCGGUUCGAAACCGCCCGCGCCUACCA